rnacentral:lncRNA from 1 species
UUUAGUAGAGGCAGGUUUCACCAUGUUGGCUAGGCUGGUCUCAAACCCCUGACCUCAAGUGAUCCACCUGCCUCGGGGGUUUUGCUCGUUUUCUGGGGCAGUGUUUUGGGGUUUGCCUUUCCUCUGUGAGGUGCCGGGUUUUCCAGCAGGGUGGUGUUGUGGGAGGAACGGGGUGUUCACCAUGGCAACAGCUAAUGCUGCCAGCGUGUGAUGAGUGUUGCCUGCCAGCACCGGUGGGCGCUUUCCGCUGCCCCCGUGUAGCCCCCACCACCACCUGUGAGAAGGCAGCACCACCCCCACUGUGCAGACGAGGGAUUGAGGCUCAGGAGGCGGCAGCUGUAGGGGUGGGCUUGGGGUCCGGGAGGAGCCGCCCUGCAGGCCUCCUGUGAAGCAGCGGGCUUCAUGGCUCUUCCCCUGUCCUCCUCACGUCCACCUGGGCCUGGGGACGGCUGCCACACACCUGCUUCUGCUGCACCGCGCACACUAAGUUCUCCUGAGACCCAAGCCUCAGAGGACCGCCUCAGGCCCGGGAUGACCCUGGCUGGCAUCUGAGAACCCAUGUGGUCAGGAGAUUGCAGCUGAGAAGGCGCGAAGCUGCUGGUCCCUGAAAAGCUGCCGCCUACCCUGGUCUGGAGCCCCUGCGAGCUGGCGUAGAGCAGGAAGGGGUUGCAUCACAGCUGAGUCCUCCCCUGCGCAGCACAUGGUACGAUGCCACCCCACCGAGGGCCGUUCUGGGGCCCAGGGGCCACGUCAGCCAGGGUGUCAUCCGCCGGGCGUUUGGAGUAAGCAGGGAAAGGUGUCGGCGUCCAGCAUCCUGGUGCGGAGAACGCUGCCGAACCACUGUGAGAAGGCGGGGAGACUGCUUGUCAGGCUGAGCUGACUUCCUGGGCGGUCGGGAGAAGGAUGUGCAGACUGUGGAACUGGCGGGUGUCAGGGACCAGAAGUUACGAAGGCGGUGGGAAGAGGAGCAGCUGUGGGAAGAAGGACUGGCUGCCAAGACCAUGGGCUGUGGGCAUCCUCAGGGCAGGAGCUGGGUGGAAGAGGGGCCUCUUCAGUCCUCUUGGCAGUGAAGGUAAACAGAUGUCAGCAGGGUGGACUCGCACUUUGAGCCUAAGGUAGCGAGGAGGCUUCUGAGCCGACCUGGGGAUGGCGGCGCACUCUGAUACAGGCAGUGCGCGGCUGUCUCGUGCUGAGAUCAGGAUUUUGAGUAAAGCAGAGAUUUCUGGACGUUUGUCCUUCAGAAAUUAGCGGAGGGACAAGGGCAUUGGCGCUGUGGAGAGGUAGGGACCCAUGGGUAUGGGGCGGAAGACCAGGGCACGACCAGACACCGCCAGGGUGCUGCACAUGUAGGUAGCAGGGGGAGGUGGUCCAGGCAAGAUGGGAUGGGAGGGGCUCAGGAGCAGCCAGGUUCUAGUGCUGGUGAUGAGGUGGGUGGUGGCAGGGGCAUGUGGAAGGGUCUUCUGACCAUGGCUUACAGAGGGCUUGGUGCUGGGGGGCCUGGAGUUGUGGAAAGGGUGAAGGGAAGAGUUGGUCCCAUAUUCCCAGAUGGCAGAGUGGAAACAGAAGCACUCGGCCCCUGAGCAGCCUUCGCCGUCUUUACAGUGAACACAGUCCUCAAACCAAACUGGGAAGGAUUCGAAUCCUGGAUGGGUGAUGUGGUCCUGGCUGUGUAAACUGACCCUGAUGAAAGACAUGCCCAUCCUGUGAGAGGGACAGCCAUCUAGCAUCUUUUUUUUUUUUUUAAUUUUUAUUUUUUGAGACAGAGUCUUGCUCCGUUACCCAGGGUGUAGUUCGAUGGCACUAUCUUGGCUCGCUGCAACCUCUUGAGCCUCAUGGGUUCAAGCGAUUCUCCUGCCUUGGCCUCCUGAGUAGCUGGGAUUACAGGCAUGCACCACCACACCUGGCUAAUUUUUUACAUUUUUAGUAGAGACAGAGGUUUUGCUGUGUUGGCCAGGCUGGUCUUGAACUUCUGACUUCAAGCAAUCCGCCCGCCUCAGCUUCCCAAAGUUGGUGGAAUUACAGGCAUGAGCCACUGUGCCCAGCCCAGCUCAGCAUCUUUGGAAAAGAGCAGAGGGCUGGGCACGGUGGCUCACACCUGCAAUCUCAGCACCUUGGGAGGCCGAGGUAGGCGGAGUGCUGGAGCCCAGGAGUUUGAGGCCAGCCUGGGCAACACAGUGAGACCCCAUCUCUACAAAAAAAAAAAAAAAAAAAAAAAAAAA